GUGCCCACUUCAGCAGCACAUAUACUAAAAUUGGAAUGAUACAGAGAAGAUUAGCAUGGCUCCUACAAAAGGAUGAUACACAAAAUCAUCUGUAUUUUUAAAUUAAA
ensembl:snRNA U6 U6 spliceosomal RNA